rnacentral:rRNA from 1 species
UACGGAGGGGGCUAGCGUUGUUCGGAAUUACUGGGCGUAAAGCGCACGUAGGCGGCCAUUCAAGUCAGAGGUGAAAGCCCGGGGCUCAACCCCGGAACUGCCUUUGAAACUAGAUGGCUUGAAUCUUGGAGAGGCGAGUGGAAUUCCGAGUGUAGAGGUGAAAUUCGUAGAUAUUCGGAAGAACACCAGUGGCGAAGGCGACUCGCUGGACAAGUAUUGACGCUGAGGUGCGAAAGCGUGGGGAGCAAACAGG